GAUGAACGCUGGCGGCGUGCCUAAUACAUGCAAGUCGAGCGAACAGACGAGGAGCUUGCUCCUCUGACGUUAUCGGCGGACGGGUGAGUAACACGUGGAUAACCUACCUAUAAGACUGGGGUAACUUUGGGAAACCGGAGCUAAUACCGGAAAAUAUAUUGCACCUCGUGGUUCCAUAGUGAAAGUCGGUUUUUGUGUCACUUAUAGAUGGAUCCGCGCCGCAUUCGCUGGUUGGUAGGGUAACGGCUUACCAAGGCGAGGACGGGUACCCGACCUAAGCGGGAGAUCGGACAGACUGGCACUGAGGCUCGUCCCAGACUCUGAGGGGAGGACACGGUAGGGAAUCCUCCGGGAUGGGGGAGAGCGUAACGGAGCAACACCGGGGGAGGCAUGAAGGUCUUCUGACCGGAAAACUAUGUUAGUAGGGAAGUACAAAUGUGUAAGUAACUAUGCACGUCUUGACGGUACCUAAUCAGUAAGCCACGGCUAACUACGUG
rnacentral:rRNA from 1 species